rnacentral:rRNA from 1 species
CGUCAAAUCAUCAUGCCCCUUAUGACCUGGGCUACACACGUGCUACAAUGGAUGGUACAAAGGGCUGCGAGACCGCGAGGUUUAGCCAAUCCCAUAAAACCAUUCUCAGUUCGGAUUGCAGGCUGCAACUCGCCUGCAUGAAGCCGGAAUCGCUAGUAAUCGCAGAUCAGCAUGCUGCGGUGAAUACGUUCCCGGGCCUU